rnacentral:rRNA from 1 species
AUUGAACGCUGGCGGCAGGCUUAACACAUGCAAGUCGAACGGUAGCAGGAGAAAGCUUGCUUUCUUGCUGACGAGUGGCGGACGGGUGAGUAAUGCUUGGGAAUCUGGCUUAUGGAGGGGGAUAACGACGGGAAACUGUUGCUAAUACCGCGUAUUAUCGGAAGAUGAAAGUGCGGGACUGAGAGGCCGCAUGCCAUAGGAUGAGUCCAAGUGGGAUUAGGUAGUUGGUG